rnacentral:rRNA from 1 species
GCCCCCCUCCCCGGGGGGUGGCCAGCGCCCGCCAGAGGACCAUCAAACUCCAGUCAGUAAACGAUGCAGUCUGAAAAACAUUUAAUAAACUAAAACUUUCAACAACGGAUCUCUUGGUUCUGGCAUCGAUGAAGAACGCAGCGAAAUGCGAUAAGUAAUGUGAAUUGCAGAAUUCAGUGAAUCAUCGAAUCUUUGAACGCACAUUGCGCCCUUUGGUAUUCCGAAGGGCAUGCCUGUUCGAGCGUCAUUACAACCCUCAAGCUCUGCUUGGUAUUGGGCACCGUCCUUUGCGGGCGCGCCUCAAAGACCUCGGCGGUGGCGUCUUGCCUCAAGCGUAGUAGAACAUACAUCUCGCUUCGGAGCGCAGGGCGUCGCCCGCCGGACGAACCUUCUGAACUUUUCUCAAGGUUGACCUCGGAUCAGGUAGGGAUACCCGCUGAACUUAAGCAUAUCAAUAAGCGGAGGAA